rnacentral:rRNA from 1 species
UACGGGGGGAGCAAGCGUUGUUCGGAUUUACUGGGCGUAAAGCGUGCGCAGGCGGGCUUUUAAGCCAGACGUGAAAUCCCCGGGCUUAACCUGGGAAUGGCGUUUGGGACUGGAAGUCUGGAGUGCGGCAGAGGAGACUGGAAUUCCUGGUGUAGCAGUGAAAUGCGUAGAUAUCAGGAGGAACACCGAUGGCGAAGGCAGGUCUCUGGGCUGACACUGACGCUCAUGCACGAAAGCGUGGGGAGCAAACAGG